CUACGGGGGGCUGCAGUAGGGAAUAUUGGACAAUGGGCGAAAGCCUGAUCCAGCAACACCGCGUGCACGAUGACGGCCUUCGGGUUGUAAAGUGCUUUUAGAGGAGAUGAGAAAGGACAGUAUCCUCUGAAUAAGCCUCGGCGAACUACGUGCCAGCAGCCGCGGUAAAACGUAGGAGGCAAGCGUUAUCCGGAUUUAUUGGGCGUAAAGCGCGUGCAGGCGGUCUAGCAAGUUGGAUGUGAAAGCUGCCGGCUCAACUGGGAGAGGUCGUUCAAUACUGUUAGACUAGAGAAUAGGAGAGGGAGGUGGAAUUCCGGGUGUAGUGGUGAAAUGCGUAGAUAUCCGGAGGAACACCAGUGGCGAAAGCGGCCUCCUGGACUAUUUCUGACGCUAAGACGCGAAAGCUAGGGUAGCAAACGGGAUUAGAUACCCGCGUAGUC
rnacentral:rRNA from 1 species